rnacentral:rRNA from 1 species
UACGAAGGGGGCUAGCGUUGCUCGGAAUCACUGGGCGUAAAGCGCAUGUAGGCGGAUCUUUAAGUCAGGGGUGAAAUCCCAAGGCUCAACCUUGGAACUGCCUUUGAUACUGGGGAUCUCGAGUCCGGAAGAGGUGAGUGGAACUGCGAGUGUAGAGGUGAAAUUCGUAGAUAUUCGCAAGAACACCAGUGGCGAAGGCGACUCACUGGUCCGGUACUGACGCUGAGGUGCGAAAGCGUGGGGAGCAAACAGG